rnacentral:rRNA from 1 species
GGCGAACGCUGGCGGCGUGCUUAACACAUGCAAGUCGAACGAAAAGAGGGAAAGAGCUUGCUCUUUCCGGAAUUGAGUGGCAAACGGGUGAGUAACACGUAAACAACCUGCCUUCAGGAUGGGGACAACAGACGGAAACGACUGCUAAUACCGAAUAAGUUCCAAGAGCCGCAUGGCCCAUGGAAGAAAAGGUGGCCUCUACCUGUAAGCUAUCGCCUGAAGAGGGGUUUGCGUCUGAUUAGCUGGUUGGAGGGGUAACGGCCCACCAAGGCGACGAUCAGUAGCCGGUCUGAGAGGAUGAACGGCCACACUGGAACUGAGACACUGUCCAGACUCCUACGGGAGGCAGCAGUGGGGAAUCUUCCGCAAUGGGCGAAAGCCUGACGGAGCAACGCCGCGUGAGUGAUGACGGCCUUCGGGUUGUAAAACUCUGUGAUCCGGGACGAAAAGGCAGAGUGCGAAGAACAAACUGCAUUGACGGUACCGGAAAAGCAAGCCACGGCUAACUACGUG